GACGAACUUUGGCGGCGUGCUUAACACAUGCAAGUCGAACGGAAAGGCCCUGCUUUUGUGGGGUGCUCGAGUGGCGAACGGGUGAGUAACACGUGAGUAACCUGCCCUUGACUUUGGGAUAACUUCAGGAAACUGGGGCUAAUACCGGAUAGGAGCUCCUGCUGCAUGGUGGGGGUUGGAAAGUUUCGGCGGUUGGGGAUGGACUCGCGGCUUAUCAGCUUGUUGGUGGGGUAGUGGCUUACCAAGGCUUUGACGGGUAGCCGGCCUGAGAGGGUGACCGGCCACAUUGGGACUGAGAUACGGCCCAGACUCCUACGGGAGGCAGCAGUGGGGAAUAUUGCACAAUGGGCGGAAGCCUGAUGCAGCAACGCCGCGUGCGGGAUGACGGCCUUCGGGUUGUAAACCGCUUUCGCCUGUGACGAAGCGUGAGUGACGGUAAUGGGUAAAGAAGCACCGGCUAACUACGUGCCAGCAGCCGCGGUGAUACGUAGGGUGCGAGCGUUGUCCGGAUUUAUUGGGCGUAAAGGGCUCGUAGGUGGUUGAUCGCGUCGGAAGUGUAAUCUUGGGGCUUAACCCUGAGCGUGCUUUCGAUACGGGUUGACUUGAGGAAGGUAGGGGAGAAUGGAAUUCCUGGUGGAGCGGUGGAAUGCGCAGAUAUCAGGAGGAACACCAGUGGCGAAGGCGGUUCUCUGGGCCUUUCCUGACGCUGAGGAGCGAAAGCGUGGGGAGCGAACAGGCUUAGAUACCCUGGUAGUCCACGCUGUAAACGGUGGGUACUAGGUGUGGGGUCCAUUCCACGGGUUCCGUGCCGUAGCUAACGCUUUAAGUACCCCGCCUGGGGAGUACGGCCGCAAGGCUAAAACUCAAAGGAAUUGACGGGGCCCCGCACAAGCGGCGGAGCAUGCGGAUUAAUUCGAUGCAACGCGUAGAACCUUACCUGGGUUUGACAUGGAUCGGGAGUGCUCAGAGAUGGGUGUGCCUCUUUUGGGGUCGGUUCACAGGUGGUGCAUGGCUGUCGUCAGCUCGUGUCGUGAGAUGUUGGGUUAAGUCCCGCAACGAGCGCAACCCUUGUUCACUGUUGCCAGCACGUUAUGGUGGGGACUCAGUGGAGACCGCCGGGGUCAACUCGGAGGAAGGUGGGGAUGACGUCAAGUCAUCAUGCCCCUUAUGUCCAGGGCUUCACGCAUGCUACAAUGGCUGGUACAGAGAGUGGCGAGCCUGUGAGGGUGAGCGAAUCUCGGAAAGCCGGUCUCAGUUCGGAUUGGGGUCUGCAACUCGACCUCAUGAAGUCGGAGUCGCUAGUAAUCGCAGAUCAGCAACGCUGCGGUGAAUACGUUCCCGGGG
rnacentral:rRNA from 1 species